CCCGCGCGUGGCGCGACGGCGCGGUGCUCGUGACUGCCCCGCACGCCGACGUGGCCGCGCACGAGGACGCCGGGAUCACCGUCCAGCGCGCCGGG
rnacentral:tRNA from 1 species